rnacentral:tRNA from 1 species
GAAAGUCUGUUGAAAAUACAACACCUUAUGAAUGCAACUCAAAUGCUCUAAUUAAGCUAAGACUUC